GCUGUAGCUCAGUGGUAAAGCAUUUGUCUUGCAUGCAGAAGAUUCCAGGUUCCGUCUCUGGCAUCUCCC